AGACGUGAGGGCGAUCUGGCUGCAACAUCUAUCACUCCAUUGAUCGCCAGGGUUGAUUUGGCUGAUCUGGUUAGCUAGGCUGGUGUACCCUUCCUCCCUCACCGCUCCAUGUGCGUCCCUCCAGAAGCUGCAUGCUUCCCCGAAUAGAGAUGCAAGGGAGACGGACCAGGUCUUCUGUGGAGUAGCUGCGCUCCCUGCUAGAACCUCCAAACAAGCUCUCAAGAAAGGUGGGGGGGGGGAUAGUAAUAUUUCUGCAUUAAAGAAAAUAAAUCUGUGCUUAAAAAUGCUUCCACCUUAGGAGCCAGGCGGUUAAGCACCUGGU
rnacentral:snRNA from 1 species